UGGGGAAUUUUGGACAAUGGGGGAAACCCUGAUCCAGCGACGCCGCGUGCGGGAAGAAGUCCUUCGGGACGUAAACCGCUGUUGUAGGGGAAGAAUAAGGGGAGGGAGACUCCCUGAUGACGGUACCCUACGAGGAAGCCCCGGCUAACUACGUGCCAGCAGCCGCGGUAAUACGUAGGGGGCGAGCGUUACCCGGAAUUACUGGGCGUAAAGGGGGCGUAGGCGGCCCGGCAAGUCAAGUGUGAAAUCCGGCGGCUCAACCGCUGGGCUGCGCUUGAAACUGCCGGGCUUGAGUGCAGCAGAGGGAGACGGAAUUGCCGGUGUAGGGGUGAAAUCCGUAGAUAUCGGCAAGAACGCCGGUGGGGAAGCCGGUCUCCUGGGCUGUUACUGACGCUGAGGCCCGAAAGCUGGGGGAGCGAACC
rnacentral:rRNA from 1 species